UAGCUCUUUAACAAUUUGGAAAGCUGACUGAUUUAAAUAACUUACGAGUUAUCUAAAUCAAAAAUUAAAAGUUCUUAAUAUCUUUUGUUUAUCUUUAGAUAAACAAAUUAAAAACACAUUCAAGUGUUCUUGUAUUUUGAAUCCGGCGAAAAACCAGAACUCUCAAUGAAGAGUUCAACCUUGGUUGUUUAUGCCAUACGAAACCUCUUGGGGUUGUAU
rnacentral:misc_RNA from 1 species